rnacentral:lncRNA from 1 species
AUUAAUUAGAUACCUAUGCUGAAAUUUGUUAGUUUGUAAUUCAAGUCUGAAGUUCUCAUAUUCUUAUCGUCUUCAGCCUCUGGCCCUCUUGGUUCUGAAGUUGUUUCUGACUCUCUUAGAGGCUGUUGUAGCAAGUUUGAGUUUUGAACUUAGGUUCUGAACUAGCAUAGCCUGAACCUCUGGUUCAGUUAUGUUUUUCCGUUUUCUUAAUUAGAAGUUAACGCUUAGUUAGUUGUUACAGCGGACAUAGUUUGUUAAUUAGUUGCUUUUGUACACAUAUCUAACAAGUUAUCCAAAAGUAUAUAUGACUAACUCUAUUUCGGAUUUUCAAACUUUAUAGGCUUUUCGUGUUGAUUGUAAUUUUGGUUGUGCUCCUAAAAUCAUUGAAGUCUUGUGU